ACAGCAGUAGCCGCGGUAAUACAGAGGGUGCGAGCGUUAAUCGGAAUUACUGGGCGUAAAGCGCACGCAGGCGGUCUGUCAAGUCAGAUGUGAAAUCCCCGGGCUUAACCUGGGAACUGCAUUUGAAACUGGCAGGCUAGAGUCUUGUAGAGGGGGGUAGAAUUCCAGGUGUAGCGGUGAAAUGCGUAGAGAUCUGGAGGAAUACCGGUGGCGAAGGCGGCCCCCUGGACAAAGACUGACGCUCAGGUGCGAAAGCGUGGGGAGCAAACAGGAUUAGAUACCCCGGUAGUCCCUGUCUCUUAUAC
rnacentral:rRNA from 1 species